UGACCAGGUUGAAAGAGUACUCGGAGUGC
rnacentral:sRNA from 1 species